rnacentral:rRNA from 1 species
AGAGUUUGAUCCUGGCUCAGGAUGAACGCUGGCGGCGUGCUUAACACAUGCAAGUCGAACGAUUAACCCGCCCUCGGGCGGUUAUAGAGUGGCGAACGGGUGAGUAACACGUGACCAACCUGCCCCUUGCUCCGGGACAACCCAGGGAAACCUCGGCUAAUACCGGAUACUCCGCGCAGCCCGCAUGGGAGGCGCGGGAAAGCCCAGACGGCAAGGGAUGGGGUCGCGGCCCAUUAGGUAGACGGCGGGGUAACGGCCCACCGUGCCCGCGAUGGGUAGCCGGGUUGAGAGACCGAUCGGCCACAUUGGGACUGAGAUACGGCCCAGACUCCUACGGGAGGCAGCAGUGGGGAAUUUUGCGCAAUGGGGGAAACCCUGACGCAGCAACGCCGCGUGCGGGACGAAGGCCUUCGGGUUGUAAACCGCUUUCAGCAGGGAAUAUCGUGAAGGUACCUGCAGAAGAAGCUCCGGCUAACUACGUGCCAGCAGCCGCGGUAAUACGUAGGGAGCGAGCGUUAUCCGGAUUCAUUGGGCGUAAAGCGCGCGUAGGCGGCCCGUCAAGCGGGGUUUCAAAUCCAGGGGCUCAACCUCUGGCCGGACCCCGAACUGGCGGGCUCGAGUGCGGUAGAGGAAGGUGGAAUUCCCAGUGUAGCGGUGAAAUGCGCAGAUAUUGGGAAGAACACCGAUGGCGAAGGCAGCCUUCUGGGCCGCCACUGACGCUGAGGCGCGAAAGCUAGGGGAGCGAACAGGAUUAGAUACCCUGGUAGUCCUAGCCGUAAACGAUGGGCACUAGGUGUGGGGGAGCAUCUCCUCCGUGCCGCAGCCAACGCAUUAAGUGCCCCGCCUGGGGAGUACGGCCGCAAGGCUAAAACUCAAAGGAAUUGACGGGGGCCCGCACAAGCAGCGGAGCAUGUGGCUUAAUUCGAAGCAACGCGAAGAACCUUACCAGGGCUUGACAUGCAGGUGAGGCGGCGGAAACGCCGUGGCCGAGAGGAGCCUGCGCAGGUGGUGCAUGGCUGUCGUCAGCUCGUGUCGUGAGAUGUUGGGUUAAGUCCC